CAAGUCGAACGGCAGCACGGGAGCAAUCCUGGUGGCGAGUGGCGAACGGGUGAGUAAUAUAUCGGAACGUGCCCAGUCGUGGGGGAUAACGCAGUGAAAGCUGUGCUAAUACCGCAUACGAUCUCUGGAUGAAAGCGGGGGACUCGGCAACGAGCCUCGCGCGAUUGGAGCGGCCGAUAUCAGAUUAGCUAGUUGGUGGGGUAAAAGCCCACCAAGGCGACGAUCUGUAGCUGGUCUGAGAGGACGACCAGCCACACUGGGACUGAGACACGGUCCAGACUCCUACGGGAGGCAGCAGUGGGGAAUUUUGGACAAUGGGCGCAAGCCUGAUCCAGCAAUGCCGCGUGCAGGAUGAAGGCCUUCGGGUUGUAAACUGCUUUUGUACGGAACGAAAAAGUCUGCCCUAAUACGGUGGGCCCAUGACGGUACCGUAAGAAUAAGCACCGGCUAACUACGUGCCAGCAGUCGCGGUAAUACGUAGGGUGCGAGCGUUAAUCGGAAUUACUGGGCGUAAAGCGUGCGCAGGCGGUUAUAUAAGACAGAUGUGAAAUCCCCGGGCUCAACCUGGGACCUGCAUUUGUGACUGUAUAGCUAGAGUACGGUAGAGGGGGAUGGAAUUCCGCGUGUAGCAGUGAAAUGCGUAGAUAUGCGGAGGAACACCGAUGGCGAAGGCAAUCCCCUGGACCUGUACUGACGCUCAUGCACGAAA
rnacentral:rRNA from 1 species